AUUGAACGCUGGCGGCAGGCCUAACACAUGCAAGUCGAACGAGUGGCGGAGGGGUGAGAAAUGUCUGGGACACUGCUUGAUGGCGGGGGAAAACUACUGAAAACGGUAGCAAAACCCGCAUACCAUCGGAUGUGCCCUGAUGGGAUUAGCUAGUAGGUGGGGUAAAGGCUCACCUAGGCGACGAUCCCUAGCGGGUCUGAGAGGAUGACCAGCCACACUGGAACUGAGACACGGUCCAGACUCCUACGGGAGGCAGCAGUGGGGAAUAUUGCGCAAUGGGCGCAAGCCUGAUGCAGCCAUGCCGCGUGAAUGAAGAAGGCCUUCGGGUUGUAAAGUACUUUCAGCGGGGAGGCGUUACCCACAGAGGAAGCACCGGCUAACUCCGUGCCAGCAGCCGCGGUAAUAC
rnacentral:rRNA from 1 species